GAUGAACGCUGGCGGCGCGCCUAAUACAUGCAAGUCGAGCGAACAGACGAGGAGCUUGCUCCUCUGACGUUAGCGGCGGACGGGUGAGUAACACGUGGAUAACCUACCUAUAAGACUGGGAUAACUUCGGGGAACCGGAGCUAAUACCGGAUAAUAUAUUGAACCGCAUGGUUCAAUAGUGAAAGACGGUUUUGCUGUCACUUAUAGAUGGAUCCGCGCCGCAUUAGCUAGUUGGUAAGGUAACGGCUUACCAAGGCAACGAUGCGUAGCCGACCUGAGAGGGUGAUCGGCCACACUGGAACUGAGACACGGUCCAGACUCCUAUGGGAGGCAGCAGUAGGGAAUCUUCCGCAAUGGGCGAAAGCCUGACGGAGCAACGCCGCGUGAGUGAUGAAGGUCUUCGGAUCGUAAAACUCUGUUAUUAGGGAAGAACAAAUGUGUAAGUAACUAUGCACGUCUUGACGGUACCUAAUCAGAAAGCCACGGCUAACUACGUG
rnacentral:rRNA from 1 species